AUGGACGGCCCCAAGAGGUCGCAGCUGCGGGUGCGGCUCCGGGUGACGGCACGCCGGCGGGGCGGCGAUGGAGCGGACAGGGCCGGGCCGGGCGGUGGCACCGGGGGCGAGCGGAAGCGGCGCCUGGACGCCCCACUCAUCAACUCCGCGGCCAAACUGCAGCGCCGCGAGAUCGGGGGGCGGCAGCUCGCCGCGCGCGGCGGCGGCGCCGCGGCCGCCGUGCCUGAGCGGUUCCGGAACAUGCAGCUCCAGGAAGAGUUUGACACAUAUGAUCAUGAUGCUCACCUAUUUGUGAAGCUACAGUUUCUCAAAAAAAGAUCCAAAAUUAUUGAGAUCGUCGCAGCAAAAGAUAUUAUAUUUGCUCUUGCUCACUCUGGGCUUUGUGCUGCUUUUAGUCGAGUAACAAAUAAGCGGUUAUCCUUCUUGAAUUUAAGCCCGGACGAAGUGAUCCGGAGUUUGUUCUACAACAAGAACAACGAUUCACUUAUUACUGUCUCAGUUUAUGCAUCAGACCAUUUUAGCACAUUGAAGUGCAGAACAACCCCAAUCGAGUAUAUAAGGAGGGACCAAUUAGAUGCUGGGUUUCCUCUUUUUGAAUCGGAAUCUCUGAAGUGGCCUGGCUUUGUUGAGUUUGAUGAUGUAAAUGGAAAAGUACUCACUUACUCGGCCCAGGAUGGUAUCUACAAGGUUUUUGAUUUGAAGAACUAUUCCUUUCUAUAUUCAAUACCUGAUACUAAUGUGCAGGAGAUCAAGAUUAGUCCAGGAAUUAUGCUCUUAAUAUAUGAUCGAACGCCAAGUUAUGUUCCUUUGAAGAUAUUAUCUAUUGAAGAUGGAAAGCCACUCAAAUUAUUCAAGCACUUGUUGCACCGCGGCAAGAAAAUUGAUUUUAUUGAGCAAUUCAAUGAGAAGCUCCUUGUGAAGCAAGAAGACGAGAACCUUCAGAUACUUGAUGUACGAAGUUCUGAGCUAAUUGAAAUCAGUAUUGAGAAGUUUAUGACCCCAUCAGCAUUCAUUUUUCUGUAUGAGAACAAUCUCUUCUUGACAUUCCGAAACAGAACAGUUGCUGUAUGGAAUUUCCGAGGAGAGCUUGUUACAUCAUUUGAGGACCAUUUGCUAUGGCAUCAAGAUUGUAGUACCAACAAUAUUUACAUUACAACUGACCAGGAUCUGAUUAUAUCCUACUGUAAAUCCAAUGCAGCGGCUGAUGACGGUACAGCUUCUUCAAUUGGAUCCAUCAACAUGAGCGACAUUAUGACUGGCAAGUGCAUUGCCAAGAUUGCAGCGAAUGAUCCUGCCCUUAGUAUCGCCCCUCGCAAGAAUGGUAGCCCUUCAAUCUGGAGUAGUAUCCCAGAAGCUCUGGAGGAUGUCACAGCACUGUUCUAUGAUGAGGACAGGAACGAGAUCUACACUGGCAACAGUCAGGGGCUGGUGCAUGUAUGGUCCAGUUAG
rnacentral:rRNA from 1 species